AUUAUAGGGCAGCGCUUGUUGACAGGAAUGUUUGUGACGAUCGACGAGGAAAUUCGAGAUUCAACCUUUUUAUCAGGGGUCAACGAUAUAAAGGAUAUAACGGCAUGGUUUUCAAGACUUAAAAAAUAAUUACCGAACACCCUGACUCGCUGAUGUUUUUUGGCACAAGUGUAUUCUUAAUUCUUUCAAACGGGGUCCAAGUCGCAGUGCCUUUGCUGCGUUCGCUGCCAUUAUUUACUUUUUUGGAUUCCACUAUUAUGCACAAAACGAAAUACUAAACCAUUAAAGAAAUAGACAUACAAUAGAUUUUAUGAAUAUAUAUUGUCACUUUAUAUUCAUGUGUAUUAAAAUAUUUUCUCUUGUGAACUUGAUUUUUAAAAAAUAAAAUAGCUAUUUUCGUUUUUGCGUAAAUUAUUCAUAAAUAUCAUAUCGUGGAGAUUGUAAACUUCCGUUGAAUAUUUUUGUAUCAUGAUGAGAUUCAUUGUGAUUGUGGACGUCCAAGAACCAUGAAGAAAAUAGUCUUUUUAAAUGUUCCUUAUAAAAUGUCAAGAGUAGCCCUAUAAUAAUUGAACGUUAGGCUCACACGAGUUUAGCAAUUGCACGUGAGAUAUGGAUAAAUACACCAAAGUAAGACAGAUUGGAGAGGGCGCGUUCGGGAAGGCCAUUUUAGUAAAAAAAAAGAAUGACGGCAAGCAAUUUGUUAUAAAGGAAAUUAAUAUACGAAAGAUGAGCCCUAAAGAAAGACAGGAUUCCAAGAAAGAAGUUGCUGUGCUGGCCCAGUUGAACCACCCAAACAUUGUGACAUACAGAGAAUCAUUUGAAGAAAUUGGAAGCCUUUACAUUGUCAUGGAUUUUUGUGAAAAAGGUGAUUUGUACGGUAAAAUCAACAGCCAGCGUGGUAUUCUAUUUCCAGAGGAACAGGUGAUGGACUGGUUUGUUCAGAUUUGCCUAGCAAUAAAGCACAUUCAUGACCGAAAAAUUCUACACAGGGACAUCAAGUCACAGAACAUCUUUUUGUCAGCUGAUGGUUCAGUGAGACUGGGAGAUUUUGGAAUCGCUAAAGUCCUGGGCAGCACUGUAGAGCUAGCCAGAACCUGUAUAGGAACCCCGUACUACCUGUCUCCAGAAAUCGUAGAGAACAGACCGUACAACAACAAGAGUGAUAUAUGGUCCCUAGGGUGUGUACUGUAUGAAAUGGCAACACUGAAGCAUGCUUUUGAAGCAGGAAAUAUGAAGAAUUUAGUAUUAAAGAUAAUCAGGGGCUCAUACCCACCGAUUUCUCCCAAGUACAGCUAUGAUCUAAGGGGACUCAUUGCUCAACUCUUCAAACGGGCUCCUAAGGAAAGACCAUCCGUAAACUCCAUUUUAAAAAAGCCAUUUAUUCAGAAGAAAGUUUCUAAGUUUCUCCCAGAACAUCUGAUUGCUGAUGAGUUCAGCCACACUGUAAUGCAUGGACAGAAACUGGCGAGAGAGUUACCCCCACCCCCAAGGGUCUCAAAGCCCCCAGCACCAAGGAAGGCCACGCCAGCUAAACCUGUCCAGAAGUACAACCCUGCCAGUAUAUAUGGAGCACCAAUAGUUAGGAAGUCCCAGGAAAAAAACAGACAAUCAGCAGAAAAGAAGCGCCCCGGUAGUGCUGGCCCCUCCCGUCCAGGAAGUGCUGGCCCCUCCCGGCCAGGGAGUGCUGCAAGCCGCCCUGGAAGUGCCCAGGGCAUGAGGCCCUCCAACAGUAACCAGGAUUUAAGAAAGAAAAGACAAGAUCUCAUGGAUAAAGAAAAGAAAAGACAAGAAGAAAAGAUUGCUGCAGAGAAACGCCAUAAAGAUCUCAUUGAAAAACAGAAAAUGGCCCGCAUCAAUAAAGCCAGAGAGGAGGGAUGGAGAAAUCUGAUGGGUUCUGAUGAUGGGGAUAAGAAAGACAGGAAUGGGGUCAAAGAGCAGCCCAAGGAACAGGUCAGGUGGCCUCCCCCCAAUCAGCCAGCAGGAGAUAAGGAGCGAGGGAAGUACGACCAGUAUCAUGCUUACUUGGACAAACUCCAGAUGGACCGAGACCAGAGACUCAAUAACCCACAGCCAGCUGCUAACAAUGCCGCGGCCUAUAUGGCUGCUCCCAGGGUGGCAGAUCCUUCAAAAGGAAUCCCCAACUGGAAGCGACCUGGAGUUCCCGAACCAACCCCAGUCUACCAGCCAAAUAGGAAUGCAGGUGUUAAUGAUGCAAAAGCUGAAAGGGCAAAGAUUGUGGAGGACUUUGUACAGAGAAAGAGAGAGGCAGCCCUGAACAAACAUAGGGGACAGGCUGAUAUAUUUGGAAAUGCCCGAUCUUAUGACCCCACUCCCCAGCAGAGUCCCAAUAAUGACCAACGACCAGGAUCAGCCAGGAAUAGGGAGGAGCAGGAUUAUAUAGAAAAGCUGAGGCAGAUAAGGCAACAGAAUUACCAAGAGAGACGCAAUGUGAUGGGCAAAAAUAAGAACGAGGAAGCUCAAGAACAAGCCAGGAAAGAUGCUGAGGCGAGGAGGAAGAAGAUAGAGGCUCUCAGGCAACAAGCAGAUGAUAGAGCUCAGAUGUUACGGGAGCAGCUAGAAAAAGACAGGAGAGAGCUGUUUGAGAAGGAGAAGCGCCUGAAACAGCUGGGCGGAGCAGCCCCUGAUAAAGCAAAGCAAGGAAGGCCCCUCCCUGUGCCCCCUAAACCUCAGGUGACCCCGGCCCCUGCUGUGUCCAUGACUGGAGUUCUUAAUGCGAUCGGAGCGGAACCUCCCAAACCUGUCGCCAUGGAACCAGCCAGUCCAACAGGAUUUACCAGUGUUCUUAGUGCCAUAGGUGCCAAGCCAGCGGACAGCAAGGAAGAAAGAGCAAAGAGUCCAGACCAGCUGAAAAAAGAUGAAAUUUUGAAGAAGUUGAAUGAAAAGGGAGCACCCAAAGGCAAGUGGGGUAAGGCAGAGAAGCCAGAAAUAGCAGAGGAAGCCUCACCCCCAGAGUCUGCCAGAUCUCAGUGGGGUCAGGGAGAUGGCGUCAGUUUCUCCAACCUUCCCCUGGAACAGACAGCCUCUCAGAUGGAAGCAACCUCUGCCAGUGAUCAAGUUGUCAAACACCCCGUCUCGGAGGGAGGGGACACUAAGCCUAAGCCCCCAGAGAAGAAGAAAUGGGGAGGACCCAGUGACACAUUGUUGAGCAAUCUGGAGAAGAAGCUAGGAGAGGGAGCAGGCAGUGGGGAGGGGAGCAGCAAGCCCUCGGUCCCAGAAAAAAAGAAGUGGGCGGGGCCCAGUGAUACACUGCUCAAUGCUUUAGCACAGAAGUCUGUGGUCUCAGGAACACUGUCUGGGGAAUCCAGUGUGUCCAGUCCAGAGGCCUCCUCCCCCACCCCACCCUCUGUGUCGGCCACCAUCACAAUCUCCAAACCUCCAGUGGUCCCCAUCAGGCAGGGCACCAUCACCCUCAGCAAGGAUGGCCCACCCAAAGAAGGGACAGCUAUAGGUGCCACCAUUACUGUUGAUAAACCGGUCAUAGUAACAGGGCAGCUUCCAAAUCUAGAGGAGAAGGCUGAUUCAUCCAAUACAGAUUCUGAAAAUAAAACAACCAAACAGGAAACUGACCAAUCAGAUGACAAGGAAAAUUCAAAUUCUAAGACUGAUAAAGUAGAUGAUCAGCCUAAAUGUGUUGCUAAACCUCCACUUCCAUCCAAACCUGUUGUUUUGCCUAAGCCAGUGAAAUUAUCCAAACCAGACACCCCUAAGCAGUUUGACUCUGACAGUGUUCCUCAAGCGAGUAAAACAGAGGGUGCUGGAAGCUUGUUCACAAAACCUGACUCUGAAGAUAAAACAGAGGAAAAAGAGGAAUCAAAAGAUAGCAAACCUAAGAAUAUUUCUUUGAGCAAAACUCAAAACUCUGGUGUCAUUCUUGGGAUUACAUGUGGACAGUUUGACAUUGGAAAUGCUCAGAUGCUGCGUACCUGCUCUGAGCCUGAUCUUGCCAAGUUGAAACGGACUAAUGCAGUCAAGCGAACCAGGAAACAAAGCCUUGACCUGGAGAAGUUGAAGAAUGAGGACGAGGAGCUGGUAGAGUGUCUGUUAGCUAACGUCAGCCUGGAGGAUAAAGACAGUGAGGACAACAGUCCUCAGGAGGAGCCUAUCAGUCCCCUCAACCUCGAGGAGCAGCAGGAGGAGGAGGGGGAGGAAGACAAUGAAAAUGAUGAUGAUGAAGAUGAUGAGGAUUUGAUGAGUGUUAGAGAGACCAUGCAGAGUUUACUACUGAGGGAAUACAGCACAGAUGAUGAAAAGAGGAAAUCUUCUACAUUGAACAUGACAGGAAGUAAAGAAGAUGACAUUAAUGAAAGUGAAGACGCAAACAGUAAUAACGGUGAUGAAGAUAAUAAUGGGGAAGAUGAGGAAGAUAAUGAGGACAAAGAGAAUGGUGAGGAGGAGACUGGUGAAGGGGAGGAGACAGGUGAAGGGGAGGAGACUGAGGACCCCAUGGACAACGAGAACCAAUCAGAGAACACUGAGGACCUGUUCCAGUCAGAUGAGAGUGAUCGAGACACCCAGUUUGGAGACGAUGAGGAAGACUAUGAUUUGUUUAGUAGAUUGGAGGAGUCCCGAGCCGAGCUGGAGGGGGAACUAGGAUGUGACAGAUUCUUGAAGGUCUACAAAACUGUUCAGGCACUCCAGGAGGAUGAGGAUGAGAACAUAGAGGAGGGGGCCAAGCUGGUGACCAACAUUCUGGCAAGGAAAAGGAGCACCUGUACCCCAGGAUAUUUCAGCUGGUCAUGGCCGAUGCCGCCUUCACUGAGGAACAAAACCAAAGCAAUUGAUCUAGAUAUGGUUGGAGUUCCCUUGUACCUGUCUUCAUUGAUGGAGGAAUAUACAUAAAGUGUAAACCCCCACUGAUUGUGUGAUGUCAUAUUGACAUUUGUAUGUAUGAAAGAUAGACAUGAAAAAUGUUCAUUCUAAAAUUUCCAUUGACUGUAUGUAAGACUUAUAACCAGUAUAUCUCAUCAGGGAUAUGAAGCAAGGUGGACACAUAUUUAUUAUGUCUCAAUUGGAUUCCAUUCCUAAUUUAUGAAUGGAUUGAGAAUAGUAGGAAUACAUGUACAGAACCAACACAUGGCAUGAGUUGUAGGAUCAGUUCACCUGUGAUGUUCUCAGUAUUUGAUAGUACAUUCACAGAGAGCUUUAUAAUGCUCUAGCUCCCAGCUUACAGUGCAAUGAUUAGCUUACUAGCCUAUAUACAUGUACACCCCUGUGUGUAUCCAAGUACUGUGUGGUCUCACUGUGGAUGUAUCCUGUCCUGUGCCUGCUGUUAUAUUUCCAUUAUCUUUUUAAUCUGUUCCUAGUCAAACUCUAUAUUUGGCUACAUAAUUAAUAUUUUAUUUUUUCCCCUUCAUGCUUGUUUGCUGUUUGCUAUUUUUUUUUUACUUUAUAUUUUAUUUUGAUUUUUUCUUUUGAUAUCCCCUUGUGACUUUAUAUUCCCACCCAUUAAUCUAAAAAGUAGAUGUAGUUGAAGAAAUGAUUUAUUGUCAUUUAAUUCUGUAAUUUGGUAUACAAUUCCAUAUAAUUUAUAGUGAUUGCAUUAUAGACUUGAUUCCAUCCAGUAUAAUUUACACUUCUGUGUGUUAGUUUUCAGUAGUGCUGCCUAUGUAUAGUAUUUUAUUAGAAAACUCCGUCCCUACAUCUUGAAACUUGUAUUUCGUUGGUUGUGUAUGUUGUAAGUCUACAAUUGUUACAUGGUUGUACAUGGUUGUUUCAGCACGUAUGGAAUUAUCAACAGUAUUCCAAUAUAUGUACAUAUGAUAUUCUGUAAAUGAUUUUCUUUACAUUUACAGUUCUGUAUUUUUUAUUUUUUUUCAAAUAUGUUACACAGCUAGUAAAAGUAAAUUAAAAGAAGUAAAUGAACCCCCAAAUGCUAUAUGUGGUUAUACUGUUACUACAUGUGCAAGGUAAGGUGUUUGAAUGAUGAGUUUAUGCUAGUGGAAGGGAGUAGUAUUCACAGUAAUAUGUUCUCUUCUCCUUAGUAUUGCCUUGUGUGUUGCUUCACUGGACAGCUGAUAUUUCAUUACACGUAAAAAAUGUAAUUGUGAUAAUUUUGAACCUAUACAUGAAACAAUGAACUUUUUGAAAUUCACUUUAUAAUUUUUUUCAUGUCAUUAAUGAAUCAAUGUGUAUUUUUUUUUCCAAUUAUAAGACUUUUCAUAAAAAUUCCGUUUGUUGAUUUUCUUGUUGUGGUCAUUUGUGUACGUGAGUUAAGGCACUUUUACAGUGUUCAAUGAAACAAGCACCAUGCUGCAGUCACAGAUAGAAAUGUCCCUACCCCCCGGCCCUCUGCCUUGGUCAUCACAGAAUAGUUCCUCGUGUACCUGGAUCUAAAUUUAUCAAUUCUUUUAAAAGAUGUCUUUUUUGGUAUUGACAAAUCCACAGGAAAUUCUAUGCUUUCCACCGCGCCAAGGGCAUUAAAUUUGAACUCUAUCACAAGUGGUUCAGUAUUUCCAUCUGAAUUAGUUGUAAAGGAAAGACUGUCUAUAAAGUAUCCUAAAAAUAGUUGCCCAUUAAUUGGUAAUAACCUAAGUCUACCGAAUCUCCCGUAGUGUAAUAAUAUGCCGUCUCCAUCUGACGUUAUUGUCAUGUUACCGAAAGCAAGAUGGCCGUACAAGCCAGCAUACGUGGCUUGGGGGACAGUUAUGUUCCAGUAGAGCUCAGGGUGAGGUUUCCUGCGGGUUUCCGUGCUGAAUAGACUUGAGGUCUUUCCAGGGCGCGGGAAAAGUACAAGAUGUCGAUUCAUUCAGCCACGGGGUGUUUCCUAGCAACAGAUCCGAUGCUUGACUGGCAAUGGUAUAUAAAGAAGGGCGGUAUUGGUUGUCCUUGGCUCCAGUAAUAGUUACAAAAACUCCGGCUUUAAGAUCAGGGAACAACCAUAACAACGAAGAAUAACCCACGAUGCCUCCCGAAUGCCAUAUCUUCCGGUAGCCUGAGAAAGAU
rnacentral:misc_RNA from 1 species